rnacentral:rRNA from 1 species
UCGAGAGGCUUUGGCAAUGGGGGAAACCCUGACCAAGCGACGCCGCGUGGAGGAUGAAGGCCCUUGGGUUGUAAACUCCUUUUGUUGGGGAAGAACUGCGAUCAGGUGAACAAUCUGGUCGUUUGACGGUACCCGACGAAUAAGCUCCGGCUAACUCCGUGCCAGCAGCCGCGGUAACACGGGGGGAGCAAGCGUUGUUCGGAAUCACUGGGCGUAAAGGGCGUGUAGGCGGUCAAGUAAGUGGGAUGUGAAAUGCCCCGGCUCACCCGGGGACCUGCAUCCCAAACUGCUUGGCUCGAGUAUGGGAGAGGAUGAGGGAAUUCCUGGUGUAGCGGUGAAAUGCGUAGAUAUCAGGAGGAACACCGGUGGCGAAAGCGCUCAUCUGGCCCAAUACUGACGCUGAGGCGCGAAAGCUAGGGGAGCAAACGGG